UUUUAAUUGUAUGUUAAUAAAUAAAGUUGCCCGGGGGUCAGAGCUAUUAGAACCAUAGACAGAGUAUGGUGGUGGUGGCACACGCCUUUAGAUCCCAGAGAUCUCUGUGUGUUCAGGGAUAAAGCCAGCAUUGGAGACGUAUGCUUUUAAGACCUAGAGGGCUGUACAUACAGGCAGUGAAGAGGCAGUCACGUGUUUGGGUUUACAACCAAUGAGAAGGCAGAACAAAAUACUAU